GGGUCUUAUAUAUAACAGUCUGGUCUCAAAGUCACUAUGUCACCAAGAAUGGUCUUGAAUUUUUUAAUUUCCUACCUCUAUCUCCUUGAUGUGCCCCACUACACUCAGUUUAUGCUACAGCAGUGUUGGGGGUUGAACCCAGGGCCCUUGUGCAUGAGAGGCAAAUAGUCUAUCAACUGAGUGCCCUCCUAGCACAAUUAAACUGUUAAUAUUUCUAUUCUGCAGAAAAAAGGGCAAUGCUUCAAACACACCUGUGUGGUGUCCUUUUGGUAUUGUGUCACCAAGCUAAAUCUCUGUGUGCCAACUCUCUGAACCACCAGCGUGACAUUUCAAUAACUGUAGGUGACAAGGUACCCUAUGAAGCAUGAAUAUUGGUAGGCAUUUCCAAAGCCUGGCAAAUAUCCUCGUGAAUUCACGGUACCCAAAGCCAGGAACAAAACUCUUUACUUCAUUCUCAAGACAGAAAUCUGAGUCCAGGGUGCUAAAGGACCUGAAAGCCAGUAAGAGCUUGAUAAGAAGGUGCCUGAACGAAGUAUUUGUCACCCAACCACUUGAGAGCCAAGUAAUUUCAGACCACUUGGUUCUGGUGACUGUGUCUGAAUUACGCAUUGAGAGUCGUCGUAGAAGUCUGACCUGCAUGGGGAAGAAAGGGCUGCUGUUCAUUUGUAGGCAGAGCCUGUGCCGCCUCAGCACAAGCCCAAGUACCCGCUCGCUCAUCUGCUCUAGCCGCUGCCACGGUGACCUUGUUGGCUGGCCCAGAAUGAGGGUCAGGAUUGCGUGCUUGCUGCCCAGCCCUUUGCCAAAUGCUUAGAUGAUGCUCGGCCGCACAGCUCUGUGAUCACCCGAAUUUUAUAGAUAAGGAGACAGCGCCAGUGCAAGUCUUGGGACAGACCACAGGAGACAGCGCCUCUCCAUUUCGAUGCUUGAUGAACCGUGACAGCAGAGAGUACAUUUCCAAUUCUCACAACCCAGCACUUGAAAGCUGUGCAUGAUGCCUGGGAGCCAUGCAUCUCAAUCUCCCAGGAAAGGCAUAAAUAUGUUAACAUUUUAGGAUAAAAUCUUUCCCUCUCAGCUACAUAAAAUAGCAGCCAUCACCAAAAAAAAAAAAAAAAAAAAAAGGGAGCAAAUUGCUGGGGACUAUGCAGCCCAUGGUGAUGAUUCCCUAACAUUUGGAGUCUAGAUCUGAUUAUGAGUUAAAUUUCAAGGGGUAACAAAUUCCGAACAAGUAGACUGAAACUAAAUAAACAGUUGCUGUGUCUACUCUCAGGCAGUUAAUUAUAGUAAGGACUCUGCUUCUUGGGAAGUAUUGUUAUAAUAAAUUAUAAUUAGUGGUUUGAAACGGGGAUACUUAAAAAAAAAAAAAUGGGUGGUGAAGAGCCUUGAACGAAUUGAAUCAUUUGUGUUAAAGCUUCCCUAAGACGCUCAGUAUUCUCUGGCAGCCUCAAAACAAAACAAAGCCAAAAAAAAAAAAAAAACCAACCCUGUCAGUCAAACUGCUAGUCAAGAGCCCUGGACAUUAUUCAAACAGAGAGAAUGAGCGCUGUGAAAGGCUCAGGUGUGGAGGGGCCUUGAGAGCCUCAGAAAAUACUCUGCCUUGCUUAAUGCCGAGUGCUAAUUGAUGGAUCUCUGCUGAUUGCUGCUGCUUUCAAGCUGCAUUUCCAUCAGGACUUCUCUGCCUUGGAAGAUGUGACAAUUUAAAAAGUGCUUUAAUAUCCCGGGAAUGGGCCCAGGAGCAGCGGGAGAGCCACAUGAGUACACCCAAGAUAACGACAGAUGCGGGGUUGUCGGGAGUGCUCCAGUUCUCACCCACAGGUCCUUCUGUUUAACAAUCUCCUCUGGCUUCUGCUUCCUGCCUGUGCGGUGAGCCACACGCCCUUCAGACAGGUGCGUGUGUUUGAAGCCUUGAUCACCAGCUGUUUGAGAAGGUUGUGGAAGCCUUGGGAUGCGGACAUAACUGAAUCCUGUCAGCCACCAUGAUGUGAACAAGCUACUGAUGCACCCGCCCACACGCCCCCCCUACUGCAGAGAACGCCACCGAUCCAGCUGCUGUGACUUCCCCACCACAUGGUCCACCAAGCUUCACCCCACUUCCCCUGAGCUGUGUCUGUCCAAUAUUUUGUCAGAGUGCUAAGAAAGUUCUAUGAGUUUCUUCAAACAAGUCAAAGCAACUCUGACCAGAGAUACUUCAAGUGACAAGAAGAUGUGUUAUGCUAGACCUCACUGGGACCAGUCAGGUGGAAACAGAACGAUGGGUGGAAAUGAUGGAAACAAAGGGAGCUGUGAACCGACAAGGUGGUGUCAGCACCAGGAGAUGAAUGUACAGUUUACAGGAAGAGGCACGCCUGAGUCUUGGCUCAUCGGUGAAUAGCUGCUUGCUCUGCCUCCUGGUACUGAGCAUUGUGGACCAACAUCACCUGAGACUGCAACAGAUCUCUUCCUUCCACUGAGGUAUGACAUGCAGCCCAGCAGAGCAGCUUCCACCUACUGCCCAGUUUGAUGACAGACUUUAGAUGUUAUACAUUUGAACCCCCAUGGCUAAAUUCCCCUCAUUGCCUCAAAAUUUCCCAAGGACAAGGCAUCUAGACUCACUGCCAUUUCAGAUGUCAGCAUGGUGACGGCCAUUGGAGUUUGUAGGUUGGAGCUAUGGUCCAAAAGUGAUCUGAUCAGCCCAGAAAACCUGGGCUGUUCCUUCUCUAGAUUCUUCCAUGGGACUGGAGUGUCGUUAGCUUCUUUAGCAGCCUUGUCACAUCUUGGUUUAUCUUGGAUUUACAUUUCUCUAGAAUGCAAACCACCACUAUUUUCUUUCUUUCUUUCUUUCUUUCUUUCUUUCUUUCUUUCUUUCUUUCUUUCUUUCUUUCUUUCUUUCUUUCUUUCUUUCUUUCUUUAAUUCCCAAGACCUCACCAAUAUUUUCAAGUAAACUUUUUUUCAGAGCCAGGCCCUUGGUGUUCACCCUAUAUAUGAAUAUUUGUGUAUGUGCCAUAUUGAUAUCUAUACUUAUUAGUGAUAUAUAUAUAUGUAUACAUAUGUAUAUUUCUAAAUUUGUUUAUAACAUGUGUUAGAUUUCUGAAACUGUGACAAAAAAAAAACUCCUGAGAUAAUCAUCAUACAAGGAAGAAAGGUUUCUUUUGGCCUAUGAUUUCAUAGGCUUCAUUCCAUGAUCAUCUGGGCCCAUUGCCUUUGGGCCUAUGGUAUGUGAGGCAGAAUGCCAUGGUAGCAGCACACAGCAGAGAAAGCUACUCACUUCAUAGUGAAACAGAAUAGAAGGGGCCUGGGGUCCCGUAGCUCCACUAAGGUCACAUAUUCAGUAACCUUCUGCCUCCUAAGUGCUCUACCACCUCUCAAUGUCAACGCAGGCUGGAGACCAAGCAUUUGAUACAUAGGCUUUUGGGGGCUAUCCAAACUUUAGCAGUUUGAUUAUGUGAAGAAUCUCUCCAAUACUAAGCCUGGUAUUACAUACCUAACAUCUUUUGAUAGGAUGCUAUGAGUGUGCACUGACUUUUUGCCACACUCAAAAGAGAGCGAGGUUAAGUCCAUGCAUAUUUUCACAGCUAGCACAUUCAGAUACACUACUUCUACCAGAGUUGGUGAGCAGGGAACUAUUAGCGGUCAUUGGGUCACUGUUUCUCUGGGUCUCAGUGACUAUGCCUGCCUGUUCAGGGGCUGGUUGGCCUAGAUUAUAUCAUAUGUUUGUCCUAGUCCUAAGAUUUUUGCCUAAAUUGCCAAGACUAAACUUCUGCUUUCCUUUCCUGGGGGCCAUGCUUACUCUUCAGUUCACUCCCAGCACCUCACUUUCAUCCCCAGGGAAUGUCAACCCCCCUCCUUGAGAUUCCCAUUCUGCACCUGUCAUAUCCACUGUCACACCUACUCAGCAGCAUGUGAUACUCAGACCCUCUGGGCCUUGUCAAGUCACUGGUCACACACGUUAGCCCACACUGGCCUGCAGAUCCUUAGUCUCUGGAAGAUUCCAGAGCACUGCUCUCUCUAAAACCAUUUUAAAGAUGGAUUUCCAAAUGUCACCCACAGUGCAAAUAAGAUGAACAGUAGCCACGCAUGACCCUGAAGCAAGUCUUUAACCUCCCUGGCUAUCUGUAGCCAGCAGGGUCAGGCAUAAAGGGACUGUGAUGGCUAAUUUUUAAUUUUCAACUUGGCACAAUCUAGUAUCUCCUAGGAAGGGGAUUCUCAAGGAGGGAUCACCUACAUUGGGUUGACCUGUGAAGGAUUUUUCUUAGUUGGGUUAAUUGAGUUGGGAAAACCAACCUUGGAUGUGGACAACACCCAUCAUGGGCUGGACCCUGAAAACUGUAUGAGGUUGUGUGUGUGUGUGUGUGUGUGUGUGUGUGUGUGUGUGUGUGUGUGUGUUGUUUUUAAAGAAAGUGAACCAUGAGUGUGUGAGUCUGAGUGUGUGUUUAUCCUCUCUGCUCUUGGCUGAGGAUGUGGUGUGACUGGCUGCUGGGGACUCCUAUCUUGACUACCCUGCAACGAUAGAUUGUAACCUGGAAUUGUAAGCCAAAUAAACACUC